AUUGAACGCUGGCGGCAUGCUUUACACAUGCAAGUCGAACGGUAACAGGUUAAGCUGACGAGUGGCGAACGGGUGAGUAAUGCAUCGGAACGUGCCCGAUCGUGGGGGAUAACGCAGCGAAAGCUGCGCUAAUACCGCAUACGAUCUGAGGAUGAAAGCAGGGGGCCGUAAGGCCUCGCGCGAUCGGAGCGGCCGAUGUCAGAUUAGGUAGUUGGUGGGGUAAAGGCCCACCAAGCCGACGAUCUGUAGCUGGUCUGAGAGGACGACCAGCCACACUGGGACUGAGACGCGGCCCAGACUCCUACGGGAGGCAGCAGUGGGGAAUUUUGGACAAUGGGCGAAAGCCUGAUCCAGCAAUGCCGCGUGCAGGAAGAAGGCCUUCGGGUUGUAAACUGCUUUUGUACGGAGCGAAAAGGUCCUUUCUAAUACAAGGGGCUCAUGACGGUACCGUAAGAAUAAGCACCGGCUAACUACGUGCCAGCCGCCGCGGUAA
rnacentral:rRNA from 1 species